GCUCUCCCCAAGGCAGUUCAGCUGAGUGCCAAGUCCAAAGACACCAAAACAGUUCACAGACAGGGGAUAAACCAGCAAGCUGUGACGGUCAUCUAGGAAGGACAUGGAGAUCCAUAUAGUUCUAUCUUUUAGGUCUUCCCCUUGUGCAUGGCCAUUUUUGCCAUGGGUUGGCCACCAAGGUGCGUCCAGUAAAUGGAGGGAACAGAUAGUGAGGAAGUGAGAAGAGAGGCCCUGUGGAG